CCUUGUUCAUCAUCAAGAACUGGCAGACAUUAUGUUCUACAUAAACUCUUACAAAAACAGAACUCCAAGAUACAACAUUUCGGAUUAUAUCAAACCAACUGCAGGCUACACCAGAUCCUCAGACUAAGCCACAAGUACUCGCGUAUGAACACGUCCAGACAUUUCUACUACAAUCGUCUCCCAAGAUUAUGGAAUAACCUGCCACCACUAGACAUUAACCUCAGGAGCAGCUCUAUCAAAGCAAAAUUGAAGAAUCUCCUCUGGCAACACUUCCUUAGCAAUUUUGAUUCUGACGCUCCCUGCACCUUCCACUUUAAUUAAGUGCCCAUGCAACAAAUGUUGUUAGUUAUAUAAUUGGUAACCUGUCUCUACAGGCUUGCCAUCAGCAUUAUACUAGGUCAGUACUAUAUUUAUUCAGAACUUAUUUUGUCUUUAUGUUGUAAAAUCGUGUUGAAUUGACAUAUCUUGGCUGCCUAUGGCUGCCUACACAAAUGAAUAUAGUUAGUUGUCACGCAUGUCACAAUAGAGCAUAUGUAAUGAUAGAGCACAUGUCAUUUGCAGCCACGAGACAAAGAGAGAUAGAGCAAGACGAGGUGUACCCUGCUGGCUGUCUCCUUGUACCUCGGUCACUUUUGCAAGAUAACUACUCAACGCUGCACAGCACAGGAUUCAGCAUUCAAUCACUCUCAUAGUUUUAUUGUCAUUUCAUCUUUUAUGGGGGACGCCUCACUCUUAAUUUUUAUCACUGAAUGGCUGCUGACGUACGUAUAUAUAAGAGCACUACAAGAUAAGAUACGACAGGAAAGGGUCAGUAUAAUAAUUAUGUGAUGUAGUGUACUAUCUGUUACUUCCUCUGGUAUUCAGCCCCUUUAAUGAGCACAGGAUUAUAUAGAUCUCCAAGCCAUUAGUUACAUUACUAUAUAAUUAUCUGCUGUAUUUAAUAUUGUAAUGAUUCAUUGAGUACUGACUUUAUAUGGAUGUAUGGAUGGUGCUAUGAUUCUUAGCCUUCCAGGCCGCAACAUAGAAUGCUGGCUUUCUGAUCGAGGAGGAGAUGAUCUGUUAUUGGCGAGUGGAUCUACCUCUGAGAGCCAGUUACUGUAUCAUGUAUGAAUAUUCUGUUGCUUGUACAUUUCGUAGCAUUAUCUGUAAUUGACUCUAGAGUAGUAUCUUGAGCUCCCCUUUCUUCAUCACUCAAUCUGCAGGCAGUGUAUGUGAUUUUCUGACAGGAAAGGCUACUCUAAACAGAGGGAGUCGGCCACACAAGGUAUAAUCUAAUAAUUAUUGUACAGUACUAGAUGAUCUCUCUGUUUUGGGUCAGAUGCAAUUGCCUUGAAUCACUAGCCAGUUAAAACAUUUCUUUUACUCUUGGCUUAAGAAAUUGUAUUUUAUUAUUGUACCAGCAUUAGGUAGUUAACUCCACUUAUGCAUUGACCUCUACUACUGUGUAGCAGGAAAUUUCGUUAUUUGAGCCCUCGAGAAAUGUUGUAUAGUUGUUCACAUUUCAAUGCCAGGUGGUGCGUGGGAGUGUCUUCCAUUUAUAUUACAUGAAGUGUGAAGUGUGUUGUAAGUUUGUACAGAAACAUGGUGGCAAUGAUCUGAUGAUGGCUCCACUGCUCUGAUGGACCAAUGCAGGAGAAGUUAUUCUGUAUAAUUAUUACACUAAAUUAAUGUAUGCCACUGUUUGGAUCGGUUUCUGUUCUGCUCAGCUUCUUCCUCCAACUUGCUUACGGCAGGCUAAGCUUAUUCUUAAUUAGUUUAUUCUUAGUUCAUUCUAUAGUCUAGUAUUAUUGUCGGUUUGGUUGUUUUAUGUUUUUCACCUGGUCAUACGGAAUCACUUCAUUAAUUUUUAUACAGUGCAGACCACACCUCUAUCCACACAUUGUACCUGCACAUCCUGUAUAUAUGGGGCCACACCCCCACUCACUGUACUGAUAUGUGGUCACACCCCCAUACAUGGUAACCCUCUUGACCACACCCCAACCCAUGCAUUGUGUCGUACAUGCUGUGUUUUUGUGUACAGUACACACAUCAUCCGUGUCUUUAUCCCCACACCUAGUCGGAGGGACAGCAAGUUCUACUAAGAGCCAGCAUCACCAACUAACCAACACUACAAAACCUACCUACUACCAGCUAGGACAGCACACCACCCGGGACAGACUCUACUAUACCAUGUAAUACGCCUUUGUAUUAACGAUCAUGAUACAAUUUGCUGCCCUCCCUCGCCCAUGGAUUGAAUAAUUAUGGACACUCGCAGGAGACUGACACACAAUAAUAGACACCAAAGGGCCAGUUACUGUAUCAUGUACGAAUAUUCUGUUGCUUGUACAUUUCGUAACAUUAUCAGUAAUUGACUGUAGAGUAGCUCCCCUUUCUUCAUCACUCAAUGCAGGCAGUGUAUGUGAUUUUCUGACAGGAAAGGCUACUCUAAACAGGGAGUCGGCCACACAAGGUAUAGUCUAAUAAUUAUUGUACGGUACUUAGAUGAUCUUCUCUGUUUUGGGUCAGAUGCAAUUGCCUUCAAUCACUAGCCAGUUUAAAACAUUUCUUCUACUCUUGGCUUAAGAAAUUGUAUUUUAUUAUUGUACCAGCAUUAGGUAGUUAACUCCACUUAUGCAUUGACCUCUACUACUGUGUAGCGGGAAAGUUCAUUAUUUGAGCCCUCGAGAAAUGUUGUAUAGUUGUUCUCAUUUCAAUGCCAGGAAACCAUAGCUUUGCAUGGUGCGUGGGAGUGUCUUCCAUUUAUAUUACAUGAAGUGUGAAGUGUGUUGUAAGUUUAUACAGAGAGGACUCCCAUGGUGGCAAUGAUCUGAUGAUGGCUCCACUGCUCUGAUGGACCAAUGCAGGAGAAGUUAUUCUGUAUAAUUAUUACACUAAAUUAAUGUAUGCCACUGUUUGGAUCGGUUUCUGUUCUGCUCAGCUUCUUCCUCCAACUUGCUUACGGCAGGCUAAGCUUAUUCUUAAUUAGUUUAUUCUUAGUUCAUUCUAUAGUCUAGUAUUAUUGUCGGUUUGGUUGUUUUAUGUUUUUCACCUGGUCAUACGGAAUCACUUCAUUAAUUUUUAUACAGUGCAGACCACACCUCUAUCCACACAUUGUACCUGCACAUCCUGUAUAUAUGGGGCCACACCCCCACUCACUGUACUGAUAUGUGGUCACACCCCCAUACAUGGUAACCCUCUUGACCACACCCCAACCCAUGCAUUGUGUCGUACAUGCUGUGUUUUUGUGUACAGUACACACAUCAUCCGUGUCUUUAUCCCCACACCUAGUCGGAGGGACAGCAAGUUCUACUAAGAGCCAGCAUCACCAACUAACCAACACUACAAAACCUACCUACUACCAGCUAGGACAGCACACCACCCGGGACAGACUCUACUAUACCAUGUAAUACGCCUUUGUAUUAACGAUCAUGAUACAAUUUGCUGCCCUCCCUCGCCCAUGGAUUGAAUAAUUAUGGACACUCGCAGGAGACUGACACACAAUAAUAGACACCAAAGGGCCAGUUACUGUAUCAUGUACGAAUAUUCUGUUGCUUGUACAUUUCGUAACAUUAUCAGUAAUUGACUGUAGAGUAGCUCCCCUUUCUUCAUCACUCAAUGCAGGCAGUGUAUGUGAUUUUCUGACAGGAAAGGCUACUCUAAACAGGGAGUCGGCCACACAAGGUAUAGUCUAAUAAUUAUUGUACGGUACUUAGAUGAUCUUCUCUGUUUUGGGUCAGAUGCAAUUGCCUUCAAUCACUAGCCAGUUUAAAACAUUUCUUCUACUCUUGGCUUAAGAAAUUGUAUUUUAUUAUUGUACCAGCAUUAGGUAGUUAACUCUACUUAUGCAUUGACCUCUACUACUGUGUAGCGGGAAAGUUCAUUAUUUGAGCCCUCGAGAAAUGUUGUAUAGUUGUUCUCAUUUCAAUGCCAGGAAACCAUAGCUUUGCAUGGUGCGUGGGAGUGUCUUCCAUUUAUAUUACAUGAAGUGUGAAGUGUGUUGUAAGUUUAUACAGAGAGGACUCCCAUGGUGGCAAUGAUCUGAUGAUGGCUCCACUGCUCUGAUGGACCAAUGCAGGAGAAGUUAUUCUGUAUAAUUAUUACACUAAAUUAAUGUAUGCCACUGUUUGGAUCGGUUUCUGUUCUGCUCAGCUUCUUCCUCCAACUUGCUUACGCAGGCUAAGCUUAUUCUUAAUUAGUUCAUUCUUAGUUCAUUCUAUAGUCUAGUAUUAUUGUCGGUUUGGUUGUUUUAUGUUUUUCACCUGGUCAUACGGAAUCACUUCAUUAAUUUUUAUACAGUGCAGACCACACCUCUAUCCACACAUUGUACCUGCACAUCCUGUAUAUAUGGGGCCACACCCCCACUCACUGUACUGAUAUGUGGUCACACCCCCAUACAUGGUAACCCUCUUGACCACACCCCAAUCCUAUGCUGUGUUUUUGUGUACAGUACACACAUCAUCCGUGUCUUUAUCCCCACACCUAGUCGGAGGGAGCAGCAAGUUCUACUAAGAGCCAGCAUCACCCACUAACCAACACUCUACAAGACCUACCUACUACCAGCUAGGACAGCACACCACCCGGGACAGACUCUACUAUACCCAUGUAAUACGCCUUUGUAUUACGAUCAUGAUACAAUUUGCUGCCCUCCCUCGCCAAUGGAUUGAAUAAUUAUGGACACUCGCAGGACAACUAAGAGACUGACACACAAUAAUAGACACCAAAGGUCCAGUUACUGUAUCAUGUACGAAUAUUCUGUUGCUUGUACAUUUCGUAACAUUAUCAGUAAUGGGUCAGAUGCAA